UCAACCCGUGAUGCGUGUUUUGACUUUUGACCAAGCCGUGGCACAGACUUUGGCGAUGGGUGUUCAGCGGCCCGUUCCAAAAUCCUGGGAUGAGAGGUGAAGAGUGGGGACUGGUGUCGGGUGCCACUGCUCAUUUUUGUUGAAGAGUCUUGGCUACACAUGGAGGGCGUCGGCGCCGGUGAAAGGCCACGGCGAGGCAAUGGCGGAGGACGACGGGCUGGAUUUCCUACAAGAUCCGGUGUACAGGUUUCCCGCCGGGGAUUGCAGAUAGCUUGGAGCAGCAGGGUCCGGUCCGUCUACUGCCUCUUGCUGGGAAAGAAUCUGACUUGCCUAUGGCGGCCGAGUUCAACGGGACGUCGGCAUGCGCUGAAGUUCUUGGCAGACUGUCCAGUACCUGUGAGCAAAGGCAAGAGUGGAGCAGAGUAAGAAAGCAUCGCCGACGCAGUUAGCUGAACCACAUGCAAGGUGAAUUCUGAAGGUGGACCAAGAGGUGAGGCAUCCUUACCUGUGUGCAUCUCAGCUACAGAUAUCUCUGGUAGAGCUUGUAGGUGUGCGCAGUUGUGUGCUUCGAGCAGAUUGGGGUUGAAGAAAUAAGUUGAUGCAAUUCCUGUGUUUCUUUUGAAGAUUGUUAUGGUUUGUCUCACCUAUGCUGCAUUCGUUAGCUAGGAAAAAUUGGAUGUUGAGUUCAUUAUCGGCGGAUCGAACCAUUUGCAGCUUAGUAGCUGUUUGAGAAAAAGUCCCCAGCCUCGGCUGUGUGCAGAAAUCAAUUUGAUUCAGUUUCUGUAUUAUCUUCUCAGGGCUGUUAUUGUUUGUCUGAUUUGGAAGUUUCACAAGUUUUGUAUGAAAUUGCAAGUUCAAUAAAUAUUCCACAAGCAAUUGGGCCCGUGGUAUCCAAACAACCAGAGGCUUGGGCAAGAAAAUUCAUCAAUAUUACGCGAUGUCGCUUGGAAUAGUGCGUUCUGCAUGUGGCCAUCUGUGGGAGAGGUCCAGUACGUUCCAGUUGCUGGUCUAGAACGUCAAGUUCCGUCUGUGCCGAUGGUGAGUUAGCAGAUGGGAGCAAUAAAUUCGAACGAGACAUGCGUGGGCCAGUGUUUCUGAACUGGACAAAUACGUGCAGAAAUACAUGCUCUGUUGUGCAUCUCCAUGCAGCUGUGUGGUUCAGAUUUCGAGAGCAUCUAAGCCCGGGCACCGAAUUGAGUUUUCCGUUAUUGUUUCCCUUUCUCUCUUUUUUCUGUCAGGAAUGAAAUAUUAUGUGGUGUCGUCUCACAAUGUAUCAUUCUCGAAGCUAUCUGCAAACAAUGUUGUAAUCUAAUGUGUUUUAUUCUUUCAA